GCGCUUGCUUUGGCAGCACCUAUAAUAAAAUUGUAAUUAUACAGAGAAUAUUAGCAUGGCCCUUGUGCAAAGAUGGCAUGCAAAUUCGUGAAGUCUUCAAUAUUUCA